rnacentral:rRNA from 1 species
AUUGAACGCUGGCGGCAUGCCUUACACAUGCAAGUCGAACGGCAGCAUGAUCUAGCUUGCUAGAUUGAUGGCGAGUGGCGAACGGGUGAGUAAUACAUCGGAACGUGCCCUGUAGUGGGGGAUAACUAGUCGAAAGAUUAGCUAAUACCGCAUACGACCUGAGGGUGAAAGUGGGGGACCGCAAGGCCUCAUGCUAUAGGAGCGGCCGAUGUCUGAUUAGCUAGUUGGUGGGGUAAAGGCUCACCAAGGCGACGAUCAGUAGCUGGUCUGAGAGGACGAUCAGCCACACUGGGACUGAGACACGGCCCAGACUCCUACGGGAGGCAGCAGUGGGGAAUUUUGGACAAUGGGCGAAAGCCUGAUCCAGCAAUGCCGCGUGUGUGAAGAAGGCCUUCGGGUUGUAAAGCACUUUUGUCCGGAAAGAAAAGGCUCUGGUUAAUACCUGGGGUCGAUGACGGUACCGGAAGAAUAAGGACCGGCUAACUACGUG